rnacentral:lncRNA from 1 species
GCACUAUUUAAAAAGGAAAAGAAAUAUAAUGCAGUAAAGUUUUCCUAUAUAAAGGCAAAGAGAGUUCUUGAGUUCUAAGUUCUAACCAUCAACCUCUUCAUUCAAGAUUUGGUUCAGUUCUAAUAACACUUCUUAUAUUUGCAACAUAGUUGUUGGUGGUGCAAUGGGAGACGCCGAGCCGACUAUCUCUCUUCUUCUUCUUCUUCUUUUUUCUCUCUUUCUUUCUCUUUAUUUUUUUAGGAAAUAAUUUUUUAAAGUUGAAGUUGUUUGAAAUAUAAUUUUUAAAAAUUGAAGUUGUAUUUAGACAUAUAUUUUAUUUGAAGAAAAAUUAAAGUUUUGUAAGUGAAAAAAAACUUUCGACCAAAAAUUGAUUUAACUGCCCUAAAUCUGUUUUUGGCAACAAGAAAAUUUUUGAAUUUUUUUUUCCUAAAAGAUGAUCAUAUUUCAUAAUCAAACAUUGUUUUUCAAAUUCUUUUGAAAAAAUGAAGCCAAUGACCCAUCGGGGGUUUAAGGUUAAGUUAUGACUAAUUUCAUUUCCUUAAUAUGAUAUUAGAGUAGGAAUCAUUUUUUAUUUAUUCAUGCUCCAGUUUACUAGAGCUGGAGAUGAGAGAGCUGUUAGAUUGUCCCAUAUAGGUUGACGGAAUGAGCCGUUGUUUAAAUUGUAUGAUUUUGGACAAUUUUCACCUAAUUUUUUGAGGUUGAGUUAUUUCCAAAAUAGCCCGGCGUCGUCAUUGCACCACUGAUAGCCAUAAGUUGCCUUCUCAUUUUGAUCUCCAAGACAUGCUAAUUAGGUUUGGAGAAUAAUCUUGAAAAAUAAAUAAUAAUCUUACUUAUUUUUCGGUAUUUGAUAUGCAAAUUAAAUAAAAUAACUUCUCAAUAGUCUUCGUAAAAUAUAUGUACUUCUUUUAUUUCAUUAUUAUUUGGUACAUCUAAACUAACAUCAUUCUUUUUUUUUUUUUUUUUUGCUUGUUUUGUGUUUUCUUGGGCAGAGAAACUUUGAAUGGCUUACCAAAUAUCAAGAAAUACACAUGUUGGAAGUACAAGACUGAUAUUGUUGGAGGACUAUAUGUUUGAGAAAUAUUUUUGCAGGAACCAAAACAUAUAGUAUAGUGUUUCAAUUUUUUUUUUCUUUACUGUGUUUACAGAAUUUGAUUUUUUCAGAUAUCAAAAAAUAAUUAACUUUUUUUUAGGAGUUGCCUCGGAGUAAAGAGUCUUGGAGUAUUCAAUGAACAAAUCAAAGAGAUAGUUAAAGUUAACAUAGUCAAUUUUUAAUGUUAAUUAAUGUUAAAAGAUGAAUUUCUUAAUAUGUACGAGAAUAACUAAAAAAAUAAUUAAAGUAGACACGGAUGAGUAUUGUAUUUAGGGAAUUUUUUGUGUCCCCAUUAUUUUUCUUUUGUUAAUUUUGCUCUUCUAUCAUUUUGGCUUUUUUCUUUGUCUAGUGGAUUUCACUUUAUGUGGAUGGAAGAAAUGCAUCCAAAAGUAGUCACAAAAGGAUGGUGUUUAAUUUUUCCCUCCUUUUUAUCUUUUAGUAUUCUUCUUUGGCCUAUGGGUUUCACUUUGUGUGAUUGAAAAAUAGGCAAGCAAAAUACGAGUGAUGUCUCAUUUUUUAUUUUUAUUUUCGGAUUGUUUAAUCGACUUUCUUUUCUUUCUGAUUUGAAGAGAAAGAAAGUGAAAACAGGAUUUUGCAAAAAAACAGAUAAUAAUUACUUAAUUAGUGGUCAUUAUCACAUGUAGGCAACAUAAUACUUAAAGGAUAAUAAAUAUAAAUGCACCUAAUGAAUUGAGAUCCAAAUAAUUUAUUAAAUGGAAACACACAAGCCUUACUUAAAUAGUACCCCAUUUUCACUACAAACAUAAAUUAGAGGUAUGACGCAUAUAACACACAGAUAGAAUUCUAGAAAAAUACAAGACUGCGCCAAAAAGGUUAAGAAAACAAGGCCAUGGCCCAUGAGGUCCCCUAUGGUUUGCCUUAUUAAAAAGGGACGCUAUCAAAAN